AGGUUACUUCGGUAACUGACCUAGCGGCGGACGGGUGAGUAAUGCUUAGGAAUCUGCCUAUUAGUGGGGGACAACAUUCCGAAAGGAAUGCUAAUACCGCAUACGUCCUACGGGGGAAAGCAGGGGAUCUUCGGACCUUGCGCUAAUAGAUGAGCCUAAGUCGGAUUAGCUAGUUGGUGGGGUAAAGGCCUACCAAGGCGACGAUCUGUAGCGGGUCUGAGAGGAUGAUCCGCCACACUGGGACUGAGACACGGCCCAGACUCCUACGGGAGGCAGCAGUGGGGAAUAUUGGACAAUGGGCGCAAGCCUGAUCCAGCCAUGCCGCGUGUGUGAAGAAGGCCUUUUGGUUGUAAAGCACUUUAAGCGAGGAGGAGGCUCCUUUAGUUAAUACCUAAAGAGAGUGGACGUUACUCGCAGAAUAAGCACCGGCUAACUCUGUGCCAGCAGCCGCGGUAAUACAGAGGGUGCGAGCGUUAAUCGGAUUUACUGGGCGUAAAGCGUGCGUAGGCGGCUUUUUAAGUCGGAUGUGAAAUCCCUGAGCUUAACUUAGGAAUUGCAUUCGAUACUGGAAAGCUAGAGUAUGGGAGAGGAUGGUAGAAUUCCAGGUGUAGCGGUGAAAUGCGUAGAGAUCUGGAGGAAUACCGAUGGCGAAGGCAGCCAUCUGGCCUAAUACUGACGCUGAGGUACGAAAGCAUGGGGAGCAAACAGGAUUAGAUACCCUGGUAGUCCAUGCCGUAAACGAUGUCUACUAGCCGUUGGGGCCUUUGAGGCUUUAGUGGCGCAGCU
rnacentral:rRNA from 1 species